AUUGUGAGGGAUGGACGCCUCUCCCCCGGAGCAGCACUUUGGAGCCAGCUUCGGCCCUGGGGAUGAGCCACAGGGGACCCACAGCCCAUGUGUGUGAGCAUGUAACCCGGGAGCCAGCUGGGCCCCUCGUGGGGUGGGCAGAAGGACGGGCUGGCCCAGGACCCUCUUCUUUGAGACAUCCUGGACUCCAUUUCAGAUGAAAGUGCUUUGAGAAACCACAGAGUUUUCUGUUUAAUGGAAGAAGGAAACCCAUCCUCUCUCCAGAGUGGCGGUGGCCGGCUGGAUAGGAGCCAAGGACAUGAAGAACAAGCUGGGCAUCUUCAGACGGCGGAACGAGUCCCCUGGAGCCCCUCCUGCGGGCAAGGCAGACAAGAUGAUGAAGUCAUUCAAGCCCACCUCAGAGGAAGCCCUCAAGUGGGGCGAGUCCUUGGAGAAGCUGCUGGUUCACAAAUACGGGUUAGCAGUGUUCCAAGCCUUCCUUCGCACUGAGUUCAGCGAGGAGAAUCUGGAGUUCUGGUUGGCUUGUGAGGACUUCAAGAAGGUCAAGUCACAGUCCAAGAUGGCAUCCAAGGCCAAGAAGAUCUUUGCUGAAUACAUCG
rnacentral:sRNA from 1 species